CGCGAAGAACCUUACCUGGGUUUGACAUGCACAGGACGUGCCUAGAGAUAGGUAUUCCCUUGUGGCCUGUGUGCAGGUGGUGCAUGGCUGUCGUCAGCUCGUGUCGUGAGAUGUUGGGUUAAGUCCCGCAACGAGCGCAACCCUUGUCUCAUGUUGCCAGCACGUAAUGGUGGGGACUCGUGAGAGACUGCCGGGGUCAACUCGGAGGAAGGUGGGGAUGACGUCAAGUCAUCACGCCCCUUAUGUCCAGGGCUUCACACAUGCUACAAUGGCCGGUACAAAGGGCUGCGAUGCCGUGAGGUGGAGCGAAUCCUUUCAAAGCCGGUCUCAGUUCGGAUCGGGGUCUGCAACUCGACCCCGUGAAGUCGGAGUCGCUAGUAAUCGCAGAUCAGCAACGCUGCGGUGAAUACGUUCCCGGGCCUUGGU
rnacentral:rRNA from 1 species